UACGUAGGGGGCAAGCGUUGUCCGGAAUCAUUGGGCGUAAAGCGCGUGUAGGCGGUCCGGUAAGUCGGUUGUGAAAGUCCAGGGCUCAACCCUGGGAUGCCGAUCGAUACUGCCGGACUAGAGUCCGGAAGAGGCGAGUGGAAUUCCCCGGGUGUAGCGGUGAAAUGCGCAGAUAUCGGGAGGAACACCAAUGGCGAAGGCAGCUCGCUGGGACGGUACUGACGGCUGAGACGCGAAAGCGU
rnacentral:rRNA from 1 species